UGCAAGUCGAACGGAAGUCGUUAUAAAAAGGAUUGAAGAUUUAUCUGAUUGAGAUUUUAUAACAAUGGCUUUAGUGGCGGACUGGUGAGUAACGCGUGAGCAACCUGCCUACUAGAGGGGAAUAACAGUGAGAAAUCACUGCUAAUACCGCAUAUGCCAUGAACAUCACAUGAUGAAAAUGGGAAAAGAGUAAUCUGCUAGUAGAUGGGCUCGCGUCUGAUUAGAUAGUUGGUGGGGCAACGGCCUACCAAGUCGACGAUCAGUAGCCGGACUGAGAGGUUGAACGGCCACAUUGGGACUGAGAUACGGCCCAGACUCCUACGGAAGGCAGCAGUCGGGAAUAUUGCGCAAUGGAGGAAACUCUGACGCAGUGACGCCGCGUAUAGGAAGAAGGUUUUCGGAUUGUAAACUAUUGUCGUUAGGGAAGAUAAAAGACAGUACCUAAGGAGGAAGCUCCGGCUAACUACGUGCCAGCAGCCGCGGUAAUACGUAGGGAGCAAGCGUUAUCCGGAUUUAUUGGGUGUAAAGGGUGCGUAGACGGGUUAGCAAGUUAGUUGUGAAAGCCCUCGGCUUAACUGAGGAACUGCAACUAAAACUGUUAAUCUUGAGUGUUGGAGAGGAAAGUGGAAUUCCUAGUGUAGCGGUGAAAUGCGUAGAUAUUAGGAGGAACACCGGUGGCGAAGGCGACUUUCUGGACAAUAACUGACGUUGAGGCACGAAAGUGUGGGGAGUAAACAGGAUUAGAUACCCUGGUAGUCCACACCGUAAACGAUGGAUACUAGGUGUAGGGAAUUAUUUAAUUUUCUGUGCCGUCGCAAACGCAAUAAGUAUCCCACCUGGGG
rnacentral:rRNA from 1 species